GCAAGCCCAGAGGAUUCAGUCGGUCAGGAUGUUGUGUAUGCGCCUGGCGCAUCUAUCAGUCAGUGUUAGAUGAGGGGCAGUCCGCCGGGAAACGGUGGGCCCAGCCGCAAGGUUGGGAUUUGCGUACCGGGUGGUUGCCGGAGCAUGCUGCUCGUCUGUUGGACUGUCUGGCCGAUGCACUUCCUCUGUUAAGGUGAACACCACGACCGGUGGUACUGCCAGUCUGUUGUGGCCAAGUUGUGCUCAGUUGGCAUUUAUGUCGCCUGGGUGCGAUCACAGGCAAAGUCGGUGAACGGUGUUCGGGCGUUCGCGUCAGUUCAUGUUAUCGGUCACUGCUUGUCAACGGGUGCGUUGCCGAUUGUUGUAGCCGUCGGUGGCAUGACCUGGUGGGCCAUGAUGGUAAAAAUAACUGUGCAGGGCGCCGGAGUGCUCGGUCUCUAAUCCGGCUCGUGUGCACGCUACAAGUGGUGUGGAGUGUUGUUGCGGCCUGCCUGUGGCUGGGUCUGAUCGUCGUGUCGCCUGCGCAAAGUGGGCCCGGCGGUGGCCUGGUUCUGGUCGGAGUCGUGGAUGGCGCUUCCAGUGUGCGAGUUCGGUGUGGGCCAAAUAGUCAGUGGUGUAGUGGUAGACGAGCUACCCGACCCGUCUUGAAAC
rnacentral:rRNA from 1 species